rnacentral:rRNA from 1 species
GAUGAACGCUGGCGGCGUGCUUAACACAUGCAAGUCGAACGGGAUCCAUCAAGCUUGCUUGGUGGUGAGAGUGGCGAACGGGUGAGUAAUGCGUGACCGACCUGCCCCAUACACCGGAAUAGCUCCUGGAAACGGGUGGUAAUGCCGGAUGCUCCAGUUGAUCGCAUGGUCUUCUGGGAAAGCUUUCGCGGUAUGGGGAUGGGGUCGCGUCCUAUCAGCUUGACGGCGGGGUAACGGCCCCACCGUGGCUU